rnacentral:rRNA from 1 species
AGUUGGUAGGGUAGUGGCCUACCAAGGCAACGAUCAGUAGCCGGCCUGAGAGGGUGGACGGCCACACUGGGACUGAGACACGGCCCAGACUCCUACGGGAGGCAGCAGUGGGGAAUAUUGCGCAAUAGGGGAAACCCUGACGCAGCGACGCCGCGUGAGCGAAGAAGGCCUUAGGGUUGUAAAGCUCUGUUGUAAGGGAAGAAGAACUUAAGCGAGAAUAUUGUUUAAGAGUGACGGUACCUUACUAGAAAGCCCCGGCUAACUACGUGCCAGCAGCCGCGGUAAGACGUAGGGGGCGAGCGUUGUCCGGAAUUACUGGGCGUAAAGAGCACGUAGGCGGAUAUUUAAGUCAGAUGUGAAAGACCGCAGCUCAACUGCGGGGUUGCAUUUGAAACUGGGUAUCUUGAGGGCAGGAGAGGGCAGUGGAAUUCCUGGUGUAGCGGUGAAAUGCGUAGAAAUCAGGAGGAACACCAGUGGCGAAGGCGACUGUCUGGACUGACCCUGACGCUGAGGUGCGAAAGCGUGGGUAGCAAACAGGAUUAGAUACCCUGGUAGUCCACGCCGUAAACGAUGGAUACUAGGUGUAGGAGGUAUCGACCCCUUCUGUGCCGCAGCUAACGCAAUAA